UGUAAACAAGAUUCCGCGCUUAAAAUUUUGACAGGAAGACGUCCAGUUAAAAAUUAAAUACAGACAUUGAUCUUCAUUUGGCAGUUUCCUUUUCUUCACAAAAUGAGCAAAGUUAGAUUUGUAUUCGUCGUUGGGGACAUACCACACCUGUCCUUGCGCUAGUUCUCUGAAAUAGGGAAAAGACAAGCCUAGCAAGGCAAAAAACAGAAAGUCACAUGAAAACAAGGAUUUCGCAGUGAACGAAAAAGUAAUGGGCUUCUGGAAACCGGAGAAGAAAUGGUAUAAUGCAACAGUCUUAGAAAAAACUAAAUCAGGUUACAAAGUCGUAUUUGCAGACGACAACUUAGUACGAGUGUUAAGUCUACAAAAUCUACGAAAAAAGACAUCGAGAUGAAUUCAGCUAAAGGUGUUUUGUUUAUAUAUGAACUUACAAGAAACUCACAACUCAUCUGAUAAUAUUCUCAAAACAGGAUAUGAUAAACAAUAUCAACAACAAAACGAAGCUGUAUUUCCUUGUCCUUGAACAAAAGACAUUUAGCAUCAGUCAAAUGAUCCUAUAUAUUUAUACAUGUAUACAAGAUUGAACAAGGUUAUAUAUUUGUUAUUUAAUUUAUAUUGGGACAUUAUCAUGAUUUUUAAUGAUAAAAAAAAACAUUCACAAAAUUAGCUUGUUUGGUCGGAUUUUUCUUGUAAUUUAAUAUGACAAACUGUAUGUAGAAAAAGAAGUAAUUAUCACACCAUCAACGAAACAACAUCAAUGACUAAAAUAAAUAGAUGAAAAAAACAUCUACAUGUAAAUGAAAAAAUCAUCAACAACAGAUAGAUGUGCAUAGAGUAAGUUAUAAACUCCAAGUGUGUUACAAUAUUAUGCACAUAAAGCUGUUCAAUAUAGUUGCAAUAUUGAAACAUGUAACAAUGUG